GCUUCUGUGGCGCAAUUGGUUAGCGCGUUCGGCUGUUAACCGAAAGGUUGGUGGUUCAAGCCCACCCACAGGAGCG